rnacentral:rRNA from 1 species
GAUGAACGCUGGCGGCGUGCUUAACACAUGCAAGUCGAACGCUGAGGCCCUGGCUUUUGUUGGGUUGGGUGAGUGGCGAACGGGUGAGUAACACGUGAGUAACCUGCCCUCUUGUUUGGGAUAACGUCCGGAAACGGGUGCUAAUACUGGAUAUUUACUGAUCUUCGCCUGGGGGUUGGUGGAAAGGUUUGUUCUGGUGGGGGAUGGGCUUGCGGCCUAGUCUCUAGUUGGUGGGGUGAUGACGUACCAAGGCGUUGACGGGUAGCUGGCCGGGGAGGGUGACCAGGCAAAUUGGAAAUGAGAUAGGGCCCAAAGGCAUACGGAAGGGAGCAAUGUUGAAUAAUGCACAAAGGGCUAACGCCGGAACGGGCGACGACGCAUGAGGGUUUAAGGCAGUUGGGAUGUAAACCUCAUUCGCUCAGAAACAAGCCGCAACUGAUGGUUGUGGUGAGGGUAGUGAGUGAGAAAGCGCCGGCUAACUACGUG